AUGGCUUCAACUGCUGCAGUACCGGCCACAAAUACAAAUGGGAACCAUGCACUAAGUGUGGAUUCACAUUCCAGCCAAGAUGUUAGGCGGCGAACGGUUGUUGCAAAGAAAAAGCCUACACCUGAGCUUCUUACUGAAGGUGGAGUUAAUGGGGUCUCAGAUGAUAAGGUUUCUAGUAAGAAGGAUAUUGGUCAUACAAGCCGUGGAGAGUCAGUUAUCGACAAACCGAAAUAUUCAUCUGAGGGAAGAAAAGAUGCACUUCCUCCAGCACCUUCUGCUGAACAUCGAAAGAAAAGUACUACUAAACAAGAAAAAGCCAAGUGGGAAACUGCACUAAGUGUGCUGAUGAAGCUUUGCCUUCUUUUUACGGCUUUUGCUUGGAUGGGGCAGGUGUUAUGGGGAUGGCAAAAUGGGGAUCUAUCAUUUACAGCACUUGAUAUGAAGAGCAGACUAUCCAAGGUAGAGGUGUUCAAGAAGACGACUAGGAUGCUCCAGGUGCAACUGGACAUUUUAGAUAAGAAGCUAGGAGAUGAGAUCGGCAAAGCAAAAAGGGACAUCACAAAGCAAUUUGAUGACAAGGGCAAGAAGUUAGAGACAAAGGUGAAGACAUUGGAAGGCAAGGCUGACAUAUUAGACAAGUCACUUGCUGAACUGAGAAACAUGGGUUUUGUCUCCAAGAAAGAAUUUGAUGAGAUUCUGACUCAGUUGAAGAGAAAGAAGGGUUUGGAUGGCACUGGGAGUGAUAUAACCUUAGACGAUGUAAGAAUAUUUGCCAAAGAAAUAGUGGAGAUGGAGAUAGCCAGGCAUGCAGCAGAUGGCCUUGGAAUGGUGGAUUAUGCAUUAGGGUCUGGUGGUGGCAAAGUGGUUAAGCAUUCGGGUGCUUUCAAGAAAGCUAAGAGCAUUCUUCCUCGUCGUAGUGAAAGUCACAAAAUGCUGGAGCCAAGUUUUGGACAGCCAGGAGAAUGUUUUGCACUGGAAGGAAGUGCUGGAUUUGUGGAAAUCAGGCUCAGGACAGGAAUUAUUCCUGAGGCAGUCACUCUAGAGCAUGUCGACAAGAGUGUGGCCUUCGACCGCUCCAGCGCUCCCAAGGAUUUCCAGGUCAGCGGGUGGUACCAAGGAGCAGACGACGAUUCAGACAAGCAACCACGCACGCCGACAAGCCUAGGAGAGUUCACUUACGACCUCGAGAAGAGCAACGCCCAGACCUUCCAGCUAGACAGAACCACCGCCGACGCAUCUGUGGUCAACAUUGUCCGGCUCGACUUCUCCUCGAACCAUGGGCAGCCUGAGCUGACGUGCAUCUACCGCUUCAGGGUGCACGGCAGCGAGCCUGGCUCUCUUCGGCACCGCGGCAUCGUGAGGCCUGAUCUAGUUAGUACCUGUGUGCCUGGGACCAUACGGUCUUCCCUCUUUAGCUUUGAUUGA
rnacentral:rRNA from 1 species